GACCGCGUAGCUCAGUUGGAAGAGCAUUGGGCUAGUAUUCCAAAGGUCGUAGGUUCGCAUCCCACCGUGGCCG
rnacentral:tRNA from 1 species